AUUUAAAUAGCUUAUUUAGAGUAUAAUAUUGAAGAUAUUAAGGAAAUAUAAUUAUUUUUAAAUA
rnacentral:tRNA from 1 species